rnacentral:rRNA from 1 species
CUUGACCUCAAAUCAGGUAGGACUACCCGCUGAACUUAAG